UAGUUGCCAGCACAUAAUGGUGGGGACUCUAGGAAGACUGCCUGCGCAAGCAGAGAGGAAGGAGGGGACGACGUCAAGUCAUCAUGGCCCUUACGGCCUGGGCUACACACGUGCUACAAUGGUCGGUACAGAGGGUUGCCAAGCCGCGAGGUGGAGCUAAUCCCACAAAGCCGAUCGUAGUCCGGAUUGGAGUCUGCAACUCGACUCCAUGAAGUCGGAAUCGCUAGUAAUCGCGGAUCAGAAUGCCGCGGUGAAUACGUUCCCGGGCCUUGUACACACCGCCCGUCACACCAUGGGAGUGGGUUGCAAAAGAAGUAGGUAGCUUAACCUUCGGGAGGGCGCUUACCACUUUGUGAUUCAUGACUGGGGUGAAGUCGGAACAAGGUAGCCGUAGGGGAAC
rnacentral:rRNA from 1 species